AUCCUCUCCCCUCUUUGGGGAAGAAACCCUGGCAUCUGAACAGGAGGAAUCACACUCGUUCGGAAGCGAUCCAGAUGAUGAGCCACUGGUGGACCCUUUUGUUUUCUAAGGAGGGUAGCAUGUCAGAUCCCUAAAAGUGAUACUGCCAUUCAAGUGAAGGAAGGGGGGACUUGGAUGGCCUGUGUCAUCAGAUAUUUUACAACCUAUAUCCUGGCGCCAAGGAAGCCUGAGAUUCCCUUUACCUGCAGGAAUUUAUAUGAUAGCCAUGUGGGUUGUCUCACUUUAAAGGGAAGUGGUGGGAAUGCAUGUAUGUUCGGGUUCUCAAAGGAAAUAGUAAAGAAAACAUCUUCACACUUGUGUAUUGGCUGAAAUCCGCAUUCUGACCUAAAGGGAGGGGUCUCUACCACUUUAAUCCUACUGCUUUGCCUAAGGGCAUUCAGAUUGUGCUUUAACUGGAUGGUUUUCACUUCUGCUUAAUAAAAGAAUCCUUUUGAACAA